rnacentral:tRNA from 1 species
GAGAUUGUAGCUCAGUUGGUAGAGCAACGUAAAACACUUUAUUAAGUUUGAACCUUCUCAAAGAGGUGUGAUAGUAAAGUUACUUCGAUUAUUAAUCCGUGUGUCGCUGGUUCGAGCCCAGCCAAUCUCC